GGCCUCGUAGUUCAAGGGACUAGAGCUUUGAUUUUACUAAAAUCUUCCCAUCGCUGUCAUAGGUUCGAAUCCCACCGAGGCCA
rnacentral:tRNA from 1 species